CAACUUUCAGCAACGGAUCUCUUGGCUCUCGCAUCGAUGAAGAACGCAACAA
rnacentral:rRNA from 1 species